GGGGCUGGAUUGGAAUUGACAACAAGAUUAAUAUAUAAGUAAGCAUAUCGUGAAAAGUAAUGUAAUCACGUAAAUAUCAUUACAAAUGAUAACCGGCAAAAAAAAUUAUGCUCUUGCUGCUUGAGAAAGCAAGAUUUUUUGAUAAAUUUAAUUUUUAAUUUGAAAGAUUGAGGUUCUAAAUCUUUCUUGAAUUGUUUAGAACUUUCUUAUAAGAAAGAGUUUCUUAUCACUAAUCUUAUGUGAAAUUUUAUCUUUGAUAAGAUAAAUAUGUAGAAAACUUAUAAUAUUACUUGUUUGGACACGGGUUCGAAUCCCGUCAGCUCCACCA
rnacentral:tmRNA from 1 species